GCCGCAAUAGCUCAGCCGGUAGAGCACAUCAUUCGUAAUGAUGGGGUCGGGGGUUCGAAUCCCUCUUGCGGCACCA
rnacentral:tRNA from 5 species